GGUCAAGGCCUGUGUGACCCAGAGAGAAACCAGCUCAAAAUGUUUGUGCUAGCUCUCCUUGGAAGAGAAAAAAGUCUGGGCUUUCUGAGGACCUCCCUCUGACCAGCAGAGUCACAUGCACGGAAACAGUACCCUCUGGUUUACAUGAUCAGUUAGAGCUUGACAGCAUGGAUGGAUUUUGGUAUAUGCUGUGUCAGUUAGUUCACUUUUUACUUCAUCUAUCUGUCCCUUAAGUAAACAAAAAUAGAGAGAAUUUAAUCAUCCCCAACACUAAAUUAAUGAAUAAGAAAUGACAUUUUUUGGUGGAGUUUCAAUAAAAAGGAAAGGGACUGAAUACUCUCUCUUGUUGCUACCAGUGAAGUGAGGAAUCCAGCAACAUGCAGCAGACUCUUAAGGGCAGUGUCCUCUGCUUGCUUAGGCAAUUAUAAUAUGAAUUACUUGUUCAGCUCUCAUUCUGGCAUGUUUUCUGAUCAAAUCCACAGCUGUAUAUCACUCUUUGUUGCCAUCAGAAGAAAUGUUCCAGCUUUGUGUUGGUGUAACAGAGAACUGGACCUGGCUCACUGAGUCAGCAUGGUAUGCGUCCAGCUUAUUAGCAAGAGGGCAGUGAUUCAGGUCAUGUAACUGCACAAUCCCAGCCGAAUAUCUCUGGGCUGAGUCCCAGUGUGUAUUAUUUAUUCCCCUAAAGUGCAGACGAACUUUGUUAACUUGGCUGUGAGAUGGUCUCAAGAUGACAAGGAUGAUGCAACCCUUUCUGAGUAAUACUGUUAAUGUUGCUUUAGCUACAGGAAAUGAUGCUUGAACGCUGUUGCAUGCAUUAGGAGAACAAGAAUUCCUUCUCCAACAGAACACACUUUGUCCAGCGCCAGUAAUAUCACAGGUGAAGACCAAACGGAAAACCUUUCAAUAUAAACAAAGAAAACAAUAUAACACAACUGGCAAGCUUUUCAUCUCUGCUGUCACAGGGAGAUGCUGUCAGGAUGAGAAGUUAACACAUGGGAGCCAGCUGUAGCAACUAAAUGUCUCAAGGAAACUUGUUCUUACAUAAUGAAAUCCAUUCACAAAGAAUAUCACAGAAAGUUGGAGUGACCUGAUAAAACUCUGAGGAGAUUACCAGAUUUAUUCUUGGAAAGGCAAGAAAGUGAAGCUCAAAGCCUGACAGACUUUGAAAAUGAUGAAAAUGUGGCUGUUAAUUCAAAAGUUUUAUUUCCAGAUGUUCAGAGAACUGAUUUUUUAAAGAUAGCGUGUUGCAUAAUAUGUUGGAAAACCACAUGUAAGUGUUUGUAAAGCAAACUAAGACCAAAUCAGAAAAACAGUUACAUUUAGAAAUGUAGCAGGAUAUACCAUGAAAAACUGCUAAAAUUAUCUGGGCAGAAUUCUGGAAUUCUGGCUUUGCCAUAAGCUCAUUAUUAAGAAAACCAUGCUGCUCUGCUGCCCUGGAGCAGCCAGGAAAAGUAAUUUGAGAAAACAGUGACUUGCAGAAUGAGGUCACUAUACUGAGUUAUACCAAGCAUACAGUACCUCAACACAGCAGCACAGGUGAGUGUAAGAUUUACUUGAUAUGUGAUAUGACAUUGCUUCUUUCCCCUUCCCACUGGUGUGCACUGGGAGGAGACCAUGGAAACAGCAAGGGACAAUGCCAAGUGUUCUUCUGACCUGUUGUUUAUUAGAGGAGCAGUCUCUCACAUCUGCCAAGCUUGUCUGUGUGAUGCUCUGUAUUGCAGAGGUAACUAAGAUUUUCCUGCUGCUGCAGACUCCCUGGUUAUUAUAACAUGCUGGAAGCUCCAGGUAACAUUAUUCAUUUCAUUCAUCUGAAUAAGCAGAAGGUAGUAGUAGAUGAAGUGCUUACUGUACUUUAGAAAUGGCAAGACAAAAGCUUACACUACCCUUCCAAACAUUUAUAGUAAAUUGAUGUCCUUAAUUGGAUGUCAAAGUAGCAUAAGUGUUUAAAUCAUUUGAAGUCUAAUUAAAGGUAAAAUCAUUGUUCUGUGCAUUUCUUUUGCUAUGGAUCAAGUAAAAUCCAGAUUUGAACUCCAACUUUUAGGAAGCUGUUAAUGAAAUGAGUCUCAUUAAUGUCAAACUGCUUGAUUAAGGACCUGAUUAAAAACCAUUUGACAUUAAUGAGACUCAUUUUAUUAAGGGCUUUUAAAUUCAGUACAUUCACAGAUGGAGGCUGAGUUAAAGUCUGUACAUGUGUGCAAUGUAAUUGUCUAUGAAUCCAGUGCUGGUUGGUCUACAUAGCUCACAGAGGAAUGAGACGCUAAAGAAGGUAUACAGCUGACCUUUAAACUUCAUUGAUUGUACUGCAAACCCCCUUAACGUUUUUAUUUGUCUUACAUUAGUUACCUUAUGUUAUACUAGUUGCAAAUUUUCUCCAAAGUCAUAUGCAGGUCACCAAAUUGUGAAGAUGCAAAACUGCCUAUAUUACACAUUUCUUUCUACAGUCUCCUAAGGAGAAUGGGCAGUGAAAUUUGAACCUUCUUCCAUCUGUUUCUUCCAGCAAGACAACAGAAAAAGGCUGUACUGUGCUGGAAUUUUGACAAUGUGAAUGCAGUGGUUCACUGUCAGACCUUCAUAAUUAGAAUACUCUUGUCACAUUUGGAUGUGGACGUAUCCCUCUCUGUGACCAAGGGAAAAAGACUUUAUAACAUGUUUGCAAAUGUUGGCUCAAUUUUCCACUGUAAGACACUCUUCAUAGAGCAGAGGUGUAUCAGUAUUUGCAGUGUGUGCCAUCCCCUUCUGCCUGGGAAGCAGGAACAAAGCAUGGGGUGCUGUUGUGAUGAUGACCUUUGGCAAGCUGAGAUGCAAAGCACCCAGCAGGAAUUUCCUUCAGCACAAAGAAAGCUAAAGAGCUUGAUCUGGUGAAAUAUCUGGUGAAAUAUCCUGACUGGAAGCAGGAAGUACUGUAAAUGGCAUAAGAAAGCAUAUUCUCAUGACAUUUCCUGUCCAAUUUUGCUGACUGCAUAUUCAAAUAAAAUCAUAUUCAAAGUGUCAACUGAUUUUUCCUUUUUCCAUGCCUCUCAUCAUUUCCUUUUUCACAUCCUUUAUCUUCUGCUCCCUCUUUGUCUGUAG